rnacentral:rRNA from 1 species
UGAGUAACGUAUGGGGAUCUGCCGAAUGGRGGGGGACAACAGUUGGAAACGACUGCUAAUACCGCAUAAUGUCGCGAGACCAAAGCAUGGGACCUUAGGGCCAUGCGCCGUUUGAUGAACCCAUAUGGGAUUAGCUAGUAGGUGAGGUAAUGGCUCACCUAGGCGACGAUCUCUAGCUGGUCUGAGAGGAUGACCAGCCACACUGGGACUGAGACACGGCCCAGACUCCUACGGGAGGCAGCAGUGGGGAAUAUUGCACAAUGGGGGAAACCCUGAUGCAGCCAUGCCGCGUGUAUGAAGAAGGCCUUCGGGUUGUAAAGUACUUUCGGUAGCGAGGAAGGGGUUAUAUCUAAUAGGUGUAACCAUUGACGUUAACUACAGAAGAAGCACCGGCUAACUCCGUGCCAGCAGCCGCGGUAAUACGGAGGGUGCGAGCGUUAAUCGGAAUGACUGGGCGUAAAGGGCAUGUAGGCGGAUAGUUAAGUUAGGUGUGAAAGCCCCGGGCUCAACCUGGGAAUUGCAUUUAAAACUGGUUAUCUGGAGUAUUGUAGAGGAARGGUARAAUUCCAUGUGUAGCGGUGAAAUGCGUA